rfam:Apaloderma vittatum contig65078, whole genome shotgun sequence.
GGCUUGUUAGCUCAGUCAGUUGAGCAUGGCAGUAACAAUGCUAAGGUCACGGGUUCGAUUCCCGUUCAGUCCC